rnacentral:rRNA from 1 species
AGAGUUUGAUCCUGGCUCAGGAUGAACGCUGGCGGCGUGCCUAACACAUGCAAGUCGAACGAGAAACUCCGAGCUUGCUCGGAGGAGUAAAGUGGCGCACGGGUGAGUAAUGCGUGGGUAACCUGCCCCUGAAUCUGGGAUAACUUCGCGAAAGCGUUGCUAAUACCGGAUAUUGUCUCUUUUGCUGUGGCAAGAGGGGUGAAAGGUGACCUAUCCAUGGAAGUUGCCGUUUAGGGAGGGGCUCGCGUACCAUUAGCUUGUUGGUGGGGUAAUGGCCCACCAAGGCUACGAUGGUUAGCUGGUCUGAGAGGAUGAUCAGCCACACUGGAACUGAAACACGGUCCAGACUCCUACGGGAGGCAGCAGUGAGGAAUUUUGCGCAAUGGGGGAAACCCUGACGCAGCAACGCCGUGUGAGUGAAGAAGGCUUUCGGGUCGUAAAGCUCUGUCAAGUGGGAAAAAGGCCUUUCGGUCAAUAGCCGGAAGGAUUGAUGGUACCACUAGAGGAAGCACCGGCUAACUCCGUGCCAGCAGCCGCGGUAAUACGGAGGGUGCGAGUGUUGUUCGGAAUUAUUGGGCGUAAAGAGCGUGUAGGCGGUUUGGUAAGUCAGGUGUGAAAGCCCUGGGCUUAACUCAGGAAGUGCACUUGAAACUACCUCACUUGAGUAUGGGAGAGGAGAGUGGAAUUCCCAGUGUAGAGGUGAAAUUCGUAGAUAUUGGGAGGAACACCCGUGGCGAAGGCGACUCUCUGGACCAAUACUGACGCUGAGACGCGAAAGCGUGGGGAGCAAACAGGAUUAGAUACCCUGGUAGUCCACGCCGUAAACGAUGAGAACUAGGUGUAGCGGGUAUUGACCCCUGCUGUGCCGGAGCUAACGCAUUAAGUUCUCCGCCUGGGGAGUACGGCCGCAAGGCUAAAACUCAAAGAAUUGACGGGGGCCCGCACAAGCGGUGGAGCAUGUGGUUUAAUUCGACGCAACGCGAAGAACCUUACCUGGAUUUGACAUCCUCUGAUACCCCCGGAAACGGGGUUUGCCCUGCUUGCAGGGACAGAGUGACAGGUGCUGCAUGGCUGUCGUCAGCUCGUGUCGUGAGAUGUUGGGUUAAGUCCCGCAACGAGCGCAACCCCUGUCUUUAGUUGCCAGUAUUUAGUUAGGCACUCUAAAGAUACUGCCUCGGUUAACGGGGAGGAAGGUGGGGAUGACGUCAAGUCCUCAUGGCCUUUAUAUCCAGGGCUACACACGUGCUACAAUGG